rnacentral:misc_RNA from 1 species
GUUCAGCUGGUUAGAAU